rnacentral:rRNA from 1 species
UACGGGGGGGGCAAGCGUUGUUCGGAAUUACUGGGCGUAAAGGGCUCGUAGGCGGCCAACUAAGUCGGAUGUGAAAUCCCCAGGCUUAACCUGGGAACUGCAUCCGAUACUGGAUGGCUUGAAUCCGGGAGAGGGAUGCAGAAUUCCAGGUGUAGCGGUGAAAUGCGUAGAUAUCUGGAGGAACACCGGCGGCGAAGGCGGCCAACUGGACGACUACUGACGCUGAGACACGAAAGCGUGGGGAGCAAACAGG